UCCUGGCUCAGAGUGAACGCUGGCGGCGUGCCUAACACAUGCAAGUCGUGCGCGAAAGGGAGCAAUCCUGAGUAAAGCGGCGAACGGGUGAGUAACACGUGGCUAACCUGCCUGGAUGUGGGGGAUACCCCGGGGGAAACUCGGGACAAUACCGCAUGAUGUCUCUCGGGCGUCGGCCCGGGAGAGCAAAGCCGGGGACCGCAAGGCCUGGCGCAUCCGGAGGGGACCGCGGCCGAUUAGCUAGUUGGCGGGGUAAUGGCCCACCAAGGCGACGAUCGGUAGCCGGCCCGAGAGGGUGAUCGGCCACACCGGAGCUGAGACACGGUCCGGACUCCUUACGGGAGGCAGCAGUGGGGAAUUUUGCGCAAUGGGCGAAAGCCUGACGCAGCAACGCCGCGUGGAGGAUGAAGGUGCUCUGCAUUGUAAACUCCUGUCGGCCGGGAAGAAUCGGCGGGGUGCUAAUCAGCCCCGUCUUGACUGUACCGGCAAAGGAAGCCCCGGCUAACUCCGUG
rnacentral:rRNA from 1 species